rnacentral:rRNA from 1 species
CCUACGGGUGACUGCAGUGGGGGAUAUUGCACAAUGGGCGCAAGCCUGACCCAGCAACGCCGCGUGAAGGAAGAAGGCUUUCGGGUUGUAAACUUCUUUUCUCAGGGACGAAGCAAGUGACGGUACCUGAGGAAUAAGCCACGGCUAACUACGUGCCAGCAGCCGCGGUAAUACGUAGGUGGCAAGCGUUAUCCGGAUUUACUGGGUGUAAAGGGCGUGUAGGCGGGACUGCAAGUCAGAUGUGAAAACCACGGGCUCAACCUGUGGCCUGCAUUUGAAACUGUAGUUCUUGAGUACUGGAGAGGCAGACGGAAUGCCUAGUGUAGCGGUGAAAUGCGUAGAUAUUAGGAGGAACACCAGUGGCGAAGGCGGUCUGCUGGACAGCAACUGACGCUGAGGCGCGAAAGCGUGGGGGGCAAACAGGAUUAGAUACCCCUGUAGUC